UACAGAGGUCCCAAGCGUUGUUCGGAUUCACUGGGCGUAAAGGGUGCGUAGGUGGUGAGGUAAGUUUGAUGUGAAAUCUCCGGGCUCAACCCGGAAAUGGCAUUGAAUACUAUCUUGCUAGAGGAGUGGAGGGGGGACUGGAAUACUUGGUGUAGCAGUGAAAUGCGCAGAUAUCAGGAGGAACACCAAUGGCGAAGGCAGCACUCUGGGACGUGACUGACGCUGAGACGCGAAAGCGUGGGGAGCAAACAGG
rnacentral:rRNA from 1 species